rnacentral:lncRNA from 1 species
GAAGGUAAUCAAUAGAAAGAUUGAUUCUAGUCGAUUGUGAUCUAAUGUUGGUUGUGACCUAAUAGGAGAUUACUUCCUUCGAAGGUUAGGGUUACUCUACUAUACAAAAGAUACGAAGAUCAUCUCUUGACACACAAUUUUUCACCUACAAACUUUAUACUAAAUCCAAAGCUUUCAGUCAAAGACACUCGUCUCUUUACUAUUUGCUCUGCCAAGCGUCCUUGGUAUCGAUUACCAGAAGGCCAUUCUGGUUGCACUCUUGUCUUGUUCUGAUCCAUUAGAACCGUACAGUUCCGAUCCUUACUCAUUUUCCACCUAUUCCUUAGUUAUGCUUUGAACCAGAAUUGAUACAAGGUGGUGGCAACUUGUAGCUAUGGUCGAUCUGUUUAUUUGCUUUCAUUCGUUUUCACUGUUUUAUUUACUUUUAUUGCCCUUUCCAUUGUAUUAAAUUAUGAAGUCCUUAUUUGUCUUAAAGCUUAAAAAAAAAAAAAAAAAAACCCUCAUUGAUUUCGUUUACCGUUUCAAAUUCAAUUCACAUUCUUUUGAUUAUAGUCAUUUACUUGGUG